rnacentral:rRNA from 1 species
AACGAACGCUGGCGGCAUGCCUAACACAUGCAAGUCGAACGAGACCUUCGGGUCUAGUGGCGUACGGGUGCGUAACGCGUGGGAACCUGCCCUUAGGUUCGGAAUAACUCUCCGAAAGGGGUGGUAAUACCGGAUCAUGUCUUCGGACCAAAGAUUUAUCGCCUUUGGAUGGGCCCGCGUUGGAUUAGCUAGUUGGUAGGGUUAAAGCCUACCAAGGCGACGAUCCAUAGCUGGUCUGAGAGGAUGAUCAGCCACACUGGGACUGGGACACGGCCCGGACUCCUACGGGAGGCAGCAGUGGGGAAUAUUGGACAAUGGGCGAAAGCCUGAUCCAGCAAUGCCGCGUGAGUGAUGAAGGCCUUAGGGUAGUAAAGCUCUUUUACCCAUGAUGAUAAUGACGGUACCGGAAGAAUAAGCUCCGGCUAACUCCGUG